rnacentral:rRNA from 1 species
GCACUCUAAGGUGACUGCCGGUGACAAACCGGAGGAAGGUGGGGAUGACGUCAAAUCAUCAUGCCCCUUAUGACCUGGGCUACACACGUGCUACAAUGGGCAGAACAAAGGGCAGCGAAGCCGCGAGGUUAAGCCAAUCCCACAAAUCUGUUCUCAGUUCGGAUCGCAGUCUGCAACUCGACUGCGUGAAGCUGGAAUCGCUAGUAAUCGCUUUAAAGGGGCCGCGGUGAAUACGUUCCCGGGCCUUGUACACCCUUAAAAGGGGACCACGAGAGUUUGAACACCCGUAGUGGUUGAGGUUCCUCUUUGG